rnacentral:rRNA from 1 species
GACGAACGCUGGCGGCGUGCUUAACACAUGCAAGUCGAACGAUGAACCUCGAAAUGAUUUCUUCGGAAAGAUUUUUGAGAGGAUUAGUGGCGAACGGGUGAGUAACGCGUGAGCAACCUGCCUUAGACAAGGGGAUAGCCUCGGGAAACCGUGAUUAAUACCCUAUGAGACUCCACUUACGAGUGUAAGAGAAGUUAAAGCUAUUGCGGUCUAAGAUGGGCUCGCGUCUGAUUAGCUAGUUGGUGAGAUAAAAGCCCACCAAGGCGACGAUCAGUAACCGGGUGGAGAGAGGGAACGGUCACAAUGGAACUGAGACACGGUCCAAACUCCUACGGGAGGCAGCAGUGGGGAAUAUUGCACAAUGGGGGCAACCCUGAUGCAGCGACGCCGCGUGAGCGAUGAAGGAAUUCGUUUCGUAAAGCUCUGUCCUUGGAGAAGAUAAUGACGGUAACCAAGGAGGAAGCACCGGCUAAAUACGUG